AGUGAACGCUGGCGGUAGGCCUAACACAUGCAAGUCGAACGGCAGCGCAGUAAGAGCUUGCUCUUACGGGUGGCGAGUGGCGGACGGGUGAGGAAUACAUCGGAAUCUACUUUUUCGUGGGGGAUAACGUAGGGACACUUACGCUAAUACCGCAUACGACCUACGGGUGAAAGCAGGGGAUCUUCGGACCUUGCGCGAUUGUAUGAGCCGAUGUCGGAUUAGCUAGUUGGCGGGGUAAAGGCCCACCAAGGCGACGAUCCGUAGCUGGUCUGAGAGGAUGAUCAGCCACACUGGAACUGAGACACGGUCCAGACUCCUACGGGAGGCAGCAGUGGGGAAUAUUGGACAAUGGGCGCAAGCCUGAUCCAGCCAUACCGCGUGGGUGAAGAAGGCCUUCGGGUUGUAAAGCCCUUUUGUUGGGAAAGAAAAGCAGCAGGUUAAUACCCCGCUGUUCUGACGGUACCCAAAGAAUAAGCACCGGCUAACUUCGUG
rnacentral:rRNA from 1 species